CCAGAAAAGUUUGAAGUAGCUAUGAGAAUGAUCAACAUUGAACUUGCUGAGCCUUCCUUCUGAAAGUGACUUGACCAGAUAUUUGGCUACCUAGUAUGAGUAUCAUUCUGCUUCAUUAAAUAAAAUAUCGUGGAGGAAUACGAAGAAAAGGGCUGCGCAUCUCAGCAUAUUCAAGGUCAAGCAGCUUUUUACCAUAUCCUUAGUAUCUUGCUGCUAAAUGAAAGAAUUAUUGUGGAGGAGCAGAGAAAAGGGCACCUCAACAUGUUCAAGGUCAAGCAGAAAUUAGGAGCUAGAUGUGCUUCUCCAGAGCUGAAAACUUCUUGGCAUGAAGAGAAGAAAAAGCAAGAAGAAGCAGUUUUAAAUAUUGAUUACGUCUUCAUAGUACAAAAAAUGAUUCUAAAGAUAAAACUAUCUAUGAAAUUAGAAAACUGAAGUUGCGUUCUGAUGAAUGUGAGAAAUAAAGUCUUCAAAGAACAGGACACCAAAAGUGCCACUCUCAAAUCAAAGCACUCCAAAAGGCAGAGCAUAAGAAGAACUAGGACAAAUAAAGAAUCUAAAAGAGUCAAACCUUUGGAUGUAGUAAUUGAACAGAGAUAGGCUAUUAGAGAUGAAAUAUCUGAAUUGCUACUGUUUUGCACAAAUGUGAUGCUUUUUUUACUUAUCUUUAGUUGACACAUUCAAUGUUAGAUAAGAAAAAUAUACCUAGUGUUGUAUUUUUGAAAGUGAAAGUUUUUUCUGAUGCUUGAUUACAGAUUAAAACUGUUAAGUUUUUUAUUGUUUAAACAUUUAUUGGUUUGUUGUGUAAUCUGCAAUCACAUACAUUUUAAUCUUGAUUUAUAUAUUACAUAUAUGUACAAGUCUAACUUAAAUAAUAAGUGCAUGGAUAUUAUUGUGGGAAAAAAUAAGACAAUCAAGGGUAGUCUGAAAGAGCUUUGCUGGCAGUAAGUUGCAGAUCUUGAUACCCAAGUAAGAGAUAGGUGGUGUCUCUGACCGAUCCUUUUGCUGUUGCUUGUGGGCGAGUGAGGCUUCUCUGUCAGUGGCUUAGUGAGUCAUAGAUGUAAAAAAUAGAAUAGGCAAAUGAGGUAGAGACAUUUCUUAGUAAAAAAGGGGUGAAUUGUGAUUUUAAUAAAUAUUACAAUUGAUAUUGCAAGAGUAAUGAGAAUUGCAAGAGUAAAAUAUUUAUUUGUUUCCUUCCAUUUGAAGUAAGAGAGUUUAUGAAUUAUGAGUUAUGGAAUUGUAAUUAAGGCUUAAAAAAAUUUGUUAAAUAUACUUGUACAUAUGUUUAUACAGGACUUUUAUAUGUGCAUGUUUCAGAGCUCAUUCUUGAUAUUUUAAGGCAAAGUUAAAAAUAUCACUAUUGAAAUGUCUUGCAUUCCAAUGUAAAGUUGAUUUAAUGAGGAUAUGUUAAAUUACAGUCAUCAAGCAAUAAACCUAGCAGUUGGAGCAGAAAUGAGCUACAUGUAUUGUAAACAAAUUUAAGCUGCUAUUGUUUUGUGUAAUUGUGAUACUUUUUCCUUAAUUUGAAUUGACAUAACCAAAUGAUAUAAAAGAUUUUUUUGGGUGUUGUAUUUUUCACAGUCAACAUUAAGUAUUUUACAAGUUGAACUUGAAUAAUUAGUGCAUUGACAUCUAUUGUGGAAAUACUUGGGAAACAAUAUAAGGGUGGUCUGAAAGAGGUUUGCUGGCAGUAAGUUGCAGAUCUUGAUACCCAAGUAAGAGAAAGGUGGUGUCUCUGACCGAUCCUUUUGCUGUUGCUUGUGGGCGAGUGAGGCUUCUCUGUCAGUGGCUUAGUGAGUCAUAGAUGUAAAAAAUAGAAUAGGCAAAUGAGGUAGAGACAUUUCUUAGUAAAAAAGGGGUGAAUUGUGAUUUUAAUAAAUAUUACAAUUGAUAUUGCAAGAGUAAUGAGAAUUGCAAGAGUAAAAUAUUUAUUUGUUUCCUUCCAUUUGAAGUAAGAGAGUUUAUGAAUUAUGAGUUAUGGAAUUGUAAUUAAGGCUUAAAAAAAUUUGUUAAAUAUACUUGUACAUAUGUUUAUACAGGACUUUUAUAUGUGCAUGUUUCAGAGCUCAUUCUUGAUAUUUUAAGGCAAAGUUAAAAAUAUCACUAUUGAAAUGUCUUGCAUUCCAAUGUAAAGUUGAUUUAAUGAGGAUAUGUUAAAUUACAGUCAUCAAGCAAUAAACCUAGCAGUUGGAGCAGAAAUGAGCUACAUGUAUUGUAAACAAAUUUAAGCUGCUAUUGUUUUGUGUAAUUGUGAUACUUUUUCCUUAAUUUGAAUUGACAUAACCAAAUGAUAUAAAAGAUUUUUUUGGGUGUUGUAUUUUUCACAGUCAACAUUAAGUAUUUUACAAGUUGAACUUGAAUAAUUAGUGCAUGGACAUCUAUUGUGGAAAUACUUGGGAAACAAUAUAAGGGUGGUCUGAAAGAGGUUUGCUGGCAGUAAGUUGCAGAUCUUGAUACCCAAGUAAGAGAAAGGUGGUGUCUCUGACCGAUCCUUUUGCUGUUGCUUGUGGGCAAGUGAGGCUUCUCUGUCAGUGGCUUAGUGUGUCUUAUUAAAUGUACAUGUAAAAAGAAUGGACAACUUUUAUUGGCAACUUUUAUUCUUUUUAUGCAAAGUAUGAUAUAAUUUAUUGUGGGAAAUUGAAAAGCCAUUUACAACUCAUGCAGCAGUUUUAUUAGGGGCAGUUUCAGUCAGAUUUUGCAGUAUUUUGGAGUCCAGAAUGACUACAUUUUUGACCUGUUGUGUUCUGAUUUAUUGCGGAUUUGAAUUUUACAUACAAUUCUAGUCUUAUAUUAAAUUAUUUUUAAUUACUUCAGUAUAUUACUUACUACUAGUAUGUAAAAUUUACUCUAUUAUAAUAGAGCUACAAUCAU